GACGAACGCUGGCGGCGUGCCUAAUACAUGCAAGUAGAACGCUGAAGAGAGGAGCUUGCUCUUCUUGGAUGAGUUGCGAACGGGUGAGUAACGCGUAGGUAACCUGCCUUGUAGCGGGGGAUAACUAUUGGAAACGAUAGCUAAUACCGCAUAACAAUGGAUGACCCAUGUCAUUUAUUUGAAAGGGGCAAAUGCUCCACUACAGGAUGGACCUGCGUUGUAUUAGCUAGUAGGUGAGGUAACGGCUCACCUAGGCGACGAUACAUAGCCGACCUGAGAGGGUGAUCGGCCACACUGGGACUGAGACACGGCCCAGACUCCUACGGGAGGCAGCAGUAGGGAAUCUUCGGCAAUGGGGGCAACCCUGACCGAGCAACGCCGCGUGAGUGAAGAAGGUUUUCGGAUCGUAAAGCUCUGUUGUAAGUCAAGAACGAGUGUGAGAGUGGAAAGUUCACACUGUGACGGUAGCUUACCAGAAAGGGACGGCUAACUACGUG
rnacentral:rRNA from 1 species